AUACGGAGGGUGCAAGCGUUGUCCGGAUUUAUUGGGUUUAAAGGGUGCGUAGGCGGUGCGUUAAGUCAGUGGUGAAAUCUUCCGGCUUAACCGGGAAACUGCCAUUGAUACUGGCGCACUUGGGUACGGACGAGGUAGGCGGAAUUUAUGGUGUAGCGGUGAAAUGCAUAGAUACCAUAAAGAACACCGAUAGCGAAGGCAGCUUACCAGACCGUAACUGACGCUCAGGCACGAAAGCGUGGGGAGCAAACAGGAUUAGAAACCCUAGUAGUCC
rnacentral:rRNA from 1 species